CCUGCCCUUAGAAUCAUUUUCCUCAUGGCUCCUGUGUCACAUGUGUAUCAGGUGGUGGCAGAGAGGAGAGAGCCUAUGUCUAUCUGUGAACAUCAGAAUGAUUAGUAGCCUAACAAU
rnacentral:snoRNA from 1 species